rnacentral:rRNA from 1 species
AUUGAACGCUGGCGGCGUGCUUAACACAUGCAAGUCGAUCGGUAACGCGGGGGCAACCCUGGCGACGAGAGGCGGACGGGUGAGGAACGCUUGGGAAUCUGCCUAUCAGCGGGGGACAACACGGGAAACUCGUGCUAAUACCGCAUACGCUCUACGGAGGAAAGCCGGGGACCGCAAGGCCUGGCACUGAUAGAUGAGCCCAAGCCGGAUUAGCUAGUUGGCGGGGUAACGGCCCACCAAGGCGACGAUCCGUAGCUGGUCUGAGAGGACGAUCAGCCACACUGGAACUGAGACACGGUCCAGACUCCUACGGGAGGCAGCAGUGGGGAAUAUUGGACAAUGGGGGAAACCCUGAUCCAGCGACGCCGCGUGGGUGAAGAAGGCCUGCGGGUUGUAAAGCCCUUUCGGUAGGGACGAAAACUCUCGACCUAACACGUCGGGAGCUUGACUUAACCUACAAAAGAAGCACCGGCUAACUCUGUGCCAGCCGCCGCAGUAAAAC